rnacentral:rRNA from 1 species
ACACAUGCAGUCGAGCGGGGAAAGGUAGCUUGCUACCUGACCUAGCGGCGGACGGGUGAGUAAUGCUUAGGAAUCUGCCUAUUAGUGGGGGACAACAUUCCGAAAGGAAUGCUAAUACCGCAUACGCCCUACGGGGGAAAGCAGGGGAUCUUCGGACCUUGCGCUAAUAGAUGAGCCUAAGUCAGAUUAGCUAGUUGGUGGGGUAAAGGCCUACCAAGGCGACGAUCUGUAGCGGGUCUGAGAGGAUGAUCCGCCACACUGGGACUGAGACACGGCCCAGACUCCUACGGGAGGCAGCAGUGGGGAAUAUUGGACAAUGGGCGAAAGCCUGAUCCAGCCAUGCCGCGUGUGUGAAGAAGGCCUUUUGGUUGUAAAGCACUUUAAGCGAGGAGGAGGCUACUUGGAUUAAUACUCUAGGAUAGUGGACGUUACUCGCAGAAUAAGCACCGGCUAACUCUGUGCCAGCAGCCGCGGUAAUACAGAGGGUGCGAGCGUUAAUCGGAUUUACUGGGCGUAAAGCGUGCGUAGGCGGCUUCUUAAGUCGGAUGUGAAAUCCCUGAGCUUAACUUAGGAAUUGCAUUCGAUACUGGGAAGCUAGAGUAUGGGAGAGGAUGGUAGAAUUCCAGGUGUAGCGGUGAAAUGCGUAGAGAUCUGGAGGAAUACCGAUGGCGAAGGCAGCCAUCUGGGCCUAAUACUGACGCUGAGGUACGAAAGCAUGGGGGAGCAAACAGGAUUAGAUAC